UACGGAGGGGGCUAGCGUUGUUCGGAAUUACUGGGCGUAAAGCGCGCGUAGGCGGACCUGCAAGUCGGGGGUGAAAGCCCGAGGCUCAACCUCGGAACUGCCUUCGAUACUGCGGGUCUCGAGUCCGGGAGAGGUGAGUGGAAUUCCGGGUGUAGUGGUGAAAUGCGUAGAGAUCCGGAGGAACACCAGAGGCGAAAGCGGCGUCCUGGCUCACUGUUGACGCUCAGACACGAAAGCAUGGGGAGCGAACGGG
rnacentral:rRNA from 1 species